rnacentral:rRNA from 1 species
UACGGAGGGUGCAAACGUUGCUCGGAAUCAUUGGGCGUAAAGCGCACGUAGGCGGCCUGUUAAGUCUGAUGUGAAAGCCCUCGGCUCAACCGAGGAGGGUCAUUGGAAACUGGAGGACUUGAGUGCAGAAGAGGAAAGUGGAAUUCCAAGUGUAGCGGUGAAAUGCUUAGAUAUGACAUAGAACACCCAUUGCGAAGGCAGCUCGCUACACUAUUAUUGACACUGAGGCACGAAAGCGUGGGGAUCAAACAGG